GUGAAUCAUCGAAUCUUUGAACGCACCUUGCGCUCCUGGGCUAUUCCUAGGAGCAUGCCUGUUUGAGUGUCGUGAAAUCAUCAACCCCAGUUGGAUUUGAAAUUUGACUGGUGGCUUGGACUUGGGGGUUUGCUGGGCCGUUUUGAUUCGGUUCUGGCUCCCCUUGAAUGUAUUAGCUUGGACUUGUUCCUAAGGCUUCAUGGCGUGAUAAUUAUCUACGCUUUGUACUGUCUGUGGAAUAUCUAUGAGUCUAGCUUCUAACUGUCCUCUGGACAUCUUUCAAUCUUUGAUCCAUCUAAACUCAAGGUAUGGACUACCCGCUGAACUUAAGCAUAUCAAUAAGCGGAGG
rnacentral:rRNA from 1 species